CCGAGUCCCCACCACGUAACGGAUGGUUUGGAAUGUCGACAACAAAAACAGCGCUGCGAGUCUGGUACUGCCGCGCAGUGCCGGCUGCCGCCGAUCCUUUGUUUGCUUAGUGUGCGUAUCGGCGAACGUUCUGUCGGUCGGCAUUAAUUUCUAAACUUAAUUUUCUUCCUCGCCGGUUCUGCCGUUUCUCUGUUAUCAAAACGUCAAUAAUUACCAAGUUAACAAUAGGUUGUUGGUCCCAUUCUAUGUUUCUACAGAUUUUCAUUUCGACGGUGAGAAUUUGUUAAUUCGGUGAGCGAUUGUUGUAAAGCCUUGACAUGAAAGCCGCUCCGAUGGACACGGACCACAUCCAAAGCAAGGGUGAUAGUUGUUUGUCGUGCAGAGUAUCCGGAUCUGUUACUUUCCUGCUAGUUGCUACAUAUUUUUAUUUUGGUUGCAAGCAUGUGAAACCGGUGUAUUACUUAGGAACUCCGAGUAUGGUAUACCUAGCUGUGGCGCGAGCGAUAGAUUUGAAACCUUUCAAAGGUUAAUAUUUCAAUAACAACUAUAUGCUCAGAAUUUAUAUUAUAGUCAACAAAGGUUCAUUAUCAAGCGGAUGUAACGUGCCACGUACAAUCAGUUGAAUGAUGUCGAAUCGGAAAGGUUUUGUGAAAUAAAUGAACUCUCGAAUUUAUUCUAAGUGUUUUUAUUUAAAAACUAUUCUAAGUCCAAUUAUUUAAUUUAAUUAAACUGUGAAAAAUAUUCUAAGUCCAGGAGACAUAAAAUAUUAAACUGGGUGACGUGAAGGUGCUUGCUCUAACUCUGGUGGAUCACGUCUGAAUUGUGCCUAAUCUGGGCCCCCUUAUAUAUCGUCCAGGGACUCCCGCGGUACCUUCAGGUCCCUGUUGGUCAUCUGCACCUGCAUCCGCUUCUUCCCACGCUUUGCGUUAUCUGAACGAUGUCGUGCGUCAAUUAUGUAUCUAUAAUAUUCUACCGGGUGGGUAAUUACGCACCUUGUAUAUUCUACCGGGUGGUAAUUACGCAUCCACACAUUUCACCAAAUAGCAAUCAUAUUAUAGCCAUUAUUUCUAGCGGGUAGAAAGCAUACGUGUGAUGAUACCUUUUGAUUAGUUAUCUUUUACCUUUCAUUUUAGGUCCCAAAUUGUUGGUCUAUACUCGAUCAUUACUUGCUUAACUGCUCACCCUUAGCAUAAUUAUAGGGAUGUUUGUUAUGCCCCCUAGCGUUGUGGUUAUUGUCGGCUACAGAAUGUAAUUUAUAUAUUAUAUUUAAUAUAAGUAUCAGAGCACGUUGCACCUCCCCACGAAAAAAAAGGUUUAUGUCUCAAAGACAGAAAUCUUUCAAAGUUCAGUACAAAAUAGUUAAAUUACAAAUUAUUACAAUAUUAUAGUGUUUACAAUAAUCGAUUACAAGUCAUUGAUAUAAGACAUACAUUACAAUUCUCUGUUUGCUUUUACAUUUAAAGUAUUUUCGUUAUAUAAUAUGAAUAUAUGAUGUAUAUGUUGUAUAUAUAGUUUUGAUUAAAUAUGGAUUGAUUACACUUACAAAUGGUUAAAUAGUUUGAUUAAAUAUUUUGAUUAUAAUAUAAUUAAUGAUUAUAUGGU